GCAAGUCGAACGCACUUUCGUUGAAUGAAUUAGAGGUGCUUGCACCGAAGAUGAUUUUAGCUAUAAAGUGAGUGGCGAACGGGUGAGUAACACGUGGGUAACCUGCCCAGAAGUGGGGGAUAACACCUGGAAACAGAUGCUAAUACCGCAUAACAAAGUAAACCGCAUGGUUUACUUUUAAAAGAUGGCUUCGGCUAUCACUUCUGGAUGGACCCGCGGCGUAUUAGCUAGUUGGUGAGAUAAAGGCUCACCAAGGCAGUGAUACGUAGCCGACCUGAGAGGGUAAUCGGCCACAUUGGGACUGAGACACGGCCCAGACUCCUACGGGAGGCAGCAGUAGGGAAUCUUCCACAAUGGACGAAAGUCUGAUGGAGCAACGCCGCGUGAGUGAUGAAGGCUUUAGGGUCGUAAAACUCUGUUGUUGGAGAAGAACGUGUGUGAGAGUAACUGCUCAUGCAGUGACGGUAUCCAACCAGAAAGCCACGGCUAACUACGUGCCAGCAGCCGCGGUAAUACGUAGGUGGCAAGCGUUAUCCGGAUUUAUUGGGCGUAAAGCGAGCGCAGGCGGUCUUUUAAGUCUAAUGUGAAAGCCUUCGGCUUAACCGAAGAAGUGCAUUGGAAACUGGAAGACUUGAGUGCAGAAGAGGACAGUGGAACUCCAUGUGUAGCGGUGAAAUGCGUAGAUAUAUGGAAGAACACCAGUGGCGAAGGCGGCUGUCUGGUCUGUAACUGACGCUGAGGCUCGAAAGCAUGGGUAGCGAACAGGAUUAGAUACCCUGGUAGUCCAUGCCGUAAACGAUGAAUGCUAAGUGUUGGAGGGUUUCCGCCCUUCAGUGCUGCAGC
rnacentral:rRNA from 1 species